GCCCAACAAUGCAUUAUGCUUGCAAUGCCACAAUCAGGCUAUUUAGUAAAUACGCAAUGUCUCACAGUGGCAGACUGGCAUAUUGAGACUGUAUUUAUACAAACAAACAGUACAUAGAUUUUGUAGGAAUUAGACCCUUUAUCAUGUGUAAAAGAUCAUUAUCUGCAGUUGUGAACUGAUAUUCUGGAUGCCAACAAGGGUCACAACAAGCCUUUACCUACCAGCAGUCAUAUGAUUUUCCAUGUAAAUAUUUUACUGAACAAAAUGUAGUUAAAAAUAACUAUUUAUUAUUUGCUUUAGCUCUUGAGGAAGAAUGCCAACGAACGGCUUGGGGUGUACGCCAAAGUCCGGGACCACCCAUUUUAUUCAUCAACUAAUUGGGUGGAAGUGGAAAAAAGAGCACUGGUGCCCCCUGUAAAACCACUAAUUAGAUCAGUUAAGGGGCUCAGUAAGAAUGACAACCCGUUCACCGAAGACAACGCUGGUGUGAUCCGCAUACUGAAGAACUUUGACUAUGUGGAUCCAAGCUGGCAGGAAUAAUACAUCUUUGUACCAGCACAGAGGUUCAUCCCAUCCAAAUGCCCCUCAAACAGUUCUGCAGACAUUCCACCAGCAGAAGAGCUAACAUCUGCCUCAUUCGCCUGCCUCCCUGUUUCAUCCUGUAUCAUCGGGUAAAGUAUAACAUACUCCUUCUACCGAGGUGAGCAGGUACGAUUUAUUGCCAUUUUACUCUGUGAAACUGAUCCCACUGCUGGUUUCACUGUCACCUCAUCGCAGGCAAUAACUAGAUAUC